AAAAAGGCAAACCAUUGGUUUCCAUGUCCAACUUUGACUGUCCGUCUUAUAUGAUUUUUUUUAUAAUUCGUAUUUUCAUUGCUGUUAGAUGAUAAAACAUGAUUAAUAUUUUAUGCGUGACUUGUCUUUUUAAUUUUUUUUAUAAUUUUUUUAAAUAAGACGGAUGGUUAAACGUUUGCCACGGAAACUAGGGUUUGUCUUUUU
rfam:Oryza barthii chromosome 8, whole genome shotgun sequence.